AACGAACGCUGGCGGCGUGGAUAAGACAUGCAAGUCGAACGGGACUAAAUCUGUAGCAAUACAGGUUUAGUUUAGUGGCGAACGGGUGCGUAACACGUGGGCAAUCUGCCGAGAAGUGGGGGAUAGCUCGCCGAAAGGCGAAUUAAUACCGCAUAUGAUCAGCUAAGACAUCUUAGCGACAUCAAAGCCGGGGUAACCUGGCGCUUCUUGAUGAGCCCGCGGCCUAUCAGCUAGUUGGCGAGGUAACGGCUCACCAAGGCUAUGACGGGUAGCUGGUCUGAGAGGACGACCAGUCACACUGGAACUGAGACACGGUCCAGACACCUACGGGUGGCAGCAGUCGAGAAUUUUUCUCAAUGGGGCAACCCUGAAGGAGCGACGCCGCGUGGAGGAUGAAGGCUUUCGGGUUGU
rnacentral:rRNA from 1 species